UACGUAGGGUGCAAGCGUUAAUCGGAAUUACUGGGCGUAAAGCGUGCGCAGGCGGUUGGGCAAGACAGAUGUGAAAUCCCCGGGCUUAACCUGGGAAUGGCAUUUGUGACUGUUCGGCUAGAGUGUGUCAGAGGGGGGUAGAAUUCCACGUGUAGCAGUGAAAUGCGUAGAGAUGUGGAGGAAUACCGAUGGCGAAGGCAGCCCCCUGGGAUAACACUGACGCCUCAUGCACGAAAGCGUGGGGAGCAAACAGG
rnacentral:rRNA from 1 species